rnacentral:lncRNA from 1 species
AGCACUUUUCCUUGCUGCCGCCAUGAGAAGAAGUAUGUGUUUUCUUCCCCUUCUGACAUGAUUGUUAAGUUUCCUGAGGCCUCCCCAGCCAUGCUGAACUGUAUUGCCUCCAGCACACUGUUUACAUUCCUACUGUGUCUCAGCAUCUGUUCUCCUGGGAAUAGAACUGGUCCACCUGAACAUAUGAUCUGUGCUGCUGUUGGUGCAGGAGGACAGGAGGGAAAUAAGCUGGAAGCCAUGGAUGUGGAGAGUCUGGCUUCAAGAUGGAGCUUGUUUACCUGCAGGGCCCCAUGCAGAACCUCAUGAGACGUGACUUCAGAGGCCUCCUCUCUGAAGGUGAGGGAGGCGUCAGCUGUUCAGAGAGAGAGGCUGCCUUGCCUGGGGACACACAGCUAGCCAGUGGCCGGAGCAGCAGUGGAUGCAGUUGUCCUGAUGCAUAGUUCAAGAAGCUUUUUUUUUUUUUUUUUUUUUCACGUGUGAAAACAUCUAUUGGGAAAAUGGAAAAAUCAUUUGACCUCAUAUUCCUCAUAGCUGACAUGGAUGAAGCUCCAAUCCUUGGUAGGACCUGUAAGGCCCUGCAUGGGUGGUCUUAGCAUCAAGCCUGAGCUCUCCCACCCUUCAUAGUACUUCCACCCCUCCGUGAAAACUCCAGGAUUCAACUGCCCUG